rnacentral:sRNA from 1 species
GUCGGGAGGGGUGGCGCACACCUGUAAUCCCACCGGCUCAGGAGGCUGAGACAGGAGGAUUGUGAGUUCAAAGCCUGCCUCGUCACGGCGAAGUGCUAAGCAACUCAGUGAGAACCUGCCUCUA